rnacentral:ncRNA from 1 species
CCUCGAUGUCGGCUCGUCGCAUCCUGGGGCUGGAGUCGGUCCCAAGGGUUGGGCUGUUCGCCCAUUAAAGCGGUACGCGAGCUGGGUUUAGAACGUCGUGAGACAGUUCGGUCCCUAUCCGCUGCGCGCGCAGGAAUAUUGAGAAGGGCUGUCCCUAGUACGAGAGGACCGGGACGGACGAACCUCUGGUGUGCCAGUUGUUCUGCCAAGGGCAUGGCUGGUUGGCUACGUUCGGGAGGGAUAACCGCUGAAAGCAUCUAAGCGGGAAGCCUGCUUCGAGAUGAGUAUUCCCACCUCCUUGAGAGGGUAAGGCUCCCAGUAGACGACUGGGUUGAUAGGCCGGAUAUGGAAGCACGGUAACGUGUGGAGUUGACCGGUACUAAUAGGCCGAGGGCUUGUCCUC